rnacentral:rRNA from 1 species
CCCUUAGAUGUUCUGGGCCGCACGCGUGCUACACUGAGUGGAUCAGCGGGUCAGGUUGCGCGAAAGUGUUUCCUAAUCUUGAAAUCCGCUCGUGAUGGGGAUUGACGGUUGCAAUUUUCCGUCAUGAACGAGGAAUACCUUGUAAGCGCGGGUCAACAUCCCGCGCUGAAUACGUCCCUGCCCUUUGUACACACCGCCCGUCGCUCCUACCGAUUGAGUGGUCCGGUGAGGCUUUGGGAUCUGAGCGGAAAGAGCGUUUCGCUGUUUCUGCUCGGAAAACUCAGUCGAACCUUAUCAUUUAGAGGAAGGAGAAGUCGUAACA